rnacentral:rRNA from 1 species
AUACGGAGGGUGCAAGCGUUACUCGGAAUCACUGGGCGUAAAGCGCGCGCAGGCGGCCAUUUAAGUUGGAUGUGAAAGCCUACGGCUCAACCGUAGAACUGCAUCCAAAACUAUUUGGCUAGAGUGUGGGAGAGGAAGAUGGAAUUAGUUGUGUAGGGGUAAAAUCCGUAGAGAUAACUAGGAAUACCAAAAGCGAAGGCAAUCUUCUGGAACACUACUGACGCUGAGGCGCGAAAGCGUGGGGAGCAAACGGGAUUAGAAACCCCAGUAGUCC